rnacentral:rRNA from 1 species
CCUACGGGAGGCAGCAGUGGGGAAUUUUGGACAAUGGGCGCAAGCCUGAUCCAGCAAUGCCGCGUGAGUGAAGAAGGCCUUCGGGUUGUAAAGCUCUUUUGUCAGGGAAGAAACGGUUCGGGUUAAUACCUUAGGCUAAUGACGGUACCUGAAGAAUAAGCACCGGCUAACUACGUGCCAGCAGCCGCGGUAAUACGUAGGGUGCAAGCGUUAAUCGGAAUUACUGGGCGUAAAGCGUGCGCAGGCGGUUGUGCAAGACAGAUGUGAAAUCCCCGGGCUCAACCUGGGAAUUGCAUUUGUGACUGUACGGCUAGAGUGUGUCAGAGGGGGGUAGAAUUCCACGUGUAGCAGUGAAAUGCGUAGAGAUGUGGAGGAAUACCGAUGGCGAAGGCAGCCCCCUGGGAUAACACUGACGCUCAUGCACGAAAGCGUGGGGAGCAAACAGGAUUAGAUACCCUGGUAGUCCACGCCCUAAACGAUGUCUACUAGUUGUCGGGUCUUUAUUGACUUGGUAACGCAGCUAACGCGUGAAGUAGACCGCCUGGGGAGUACGGUCGCAAGAUUAAAACUCAAAGGAAUUGACGG